rnacentral:lncRNA from 1 species
GACAGUCUCAUUGUGCCAAAACUGAAGUCCUGGGGUCUGGGGAAGGUAGUAUGUACGCAGACCUUACUCCUUGCUCUGUUUUCAAAUAGACCCCGGCAUCCUUUCCUCCAAGAACUUUCCAAGGAGUAAGGUCUGCUCCAAAGCACCAACCAUUUUACCCACAAUUCUGAUCCAAUAAAAAACAAAAAGAAGACAAAGGAGCGCAGAACCAAACUCACCGGAAAGCUCCACAAACAACACAGGAAUUAGAGAAACUACGAAUUUUUUUGCACAAAAAGACGAGUAAUUGCUGAUAAAGAUGAGAAUUGCUUCAGAGAGAACAUGCCAGCAAUUUGAAUGGAGUUUCGUAAGCACGCGUUAAACCUGGAGCCAACGGGGGCAUCACAUGUCCGAAUUACUCCUAACACCAAUCUUGCAAAAUUACCCCUGCGCAGACCAGCAGCUAAUCGGAAGCUCCUCAAACUCUCCCUUAUUAAUAGUGUAUGUAUGUAUGUAACAAAGAAAGGAUGAUUUGGAGAUUGAUCAACAUAAAUCAUUGUCAUAAAGGAAAUUUUCUGCUAACUUUAGCAUCCUCAUUGGAAAAGGAAGAAAAAGAACAUUCUCUUAAUUCAACUCCUUACAACAGCAUAACUUAUACAUGGCAACCAGAAGAUAAUAGAGAAGACACAAAAAAACUUCGAUGUAAAUGAUACGUAACAAGUACUAACAUAAGGCUCAUCAUUCCAUUAACUAGUAAAAGUAACAUAAACCUCAGGUAGAAAGCCCAAGCACAGACACAGCAAAAAGGCAAGAUGGACUCAGGUUGGCCAAGAAAAAUGGCAAAUUGCUUUUAAACAUUCCUGCUUUUUCUUGUUCUGACUUGAAACAAUGUGCCAAAUUAUCUGUACAAAGCUUUCUUCCUUUUUGCUUCAUCAACCUCCCAAUUGAAGUUGAGACUUAGAAAAUACAUGUUAAGAUAUCAAUACUUAAUAGUUUUAUAUUAAUAUGACAGAGGCAUACAGGCCCUGCAUAAGCUACUUACCACGAAAGUCCUCUUAUACAAGCAUUCAAUUCAAAGGUUACAGCUUGACUACUGGAUCUUAUAAGGAAAUCUCAACGGAAGCAGGAAAAAAGUU